UACGGAGGGGGCUAGCGUUGUUCGGAAUUACUGGGCGUAAAGCGUGCGCAGGCGGUUAUGUAAGACAGGUGUGAAAUCCCAGGGCUUAACCUUGGAACUGCAUUUGUGACUGCAUAGCUAGAGUACGGUAGAGGGGGAUGGAAUUCCGCGUGUAGCAGUGAAAUGCGUAGAUAUGCGGAGGAACACCGAUGGCGAAGGCAAUCCCCUGGACCUGUACUGACGCUCAUGCACGAAAGCGUGGGGAGCAAACAGG
rnacentral:rRNA from 1 species